GAUGAACGCUGGCGGCGUGCCUAAUACAUGCAAGUCGAGCGAACAGACGAGGAGCUUGCUCCUCUGACGUUAGCGGCGGACGGGUGAGUAACACGUGGAUAACCUACCUAUAAGACUGGGAUAACUUCGGGAAACCGGAGCUAAUACCGGAUAAUAUAUUGAACCGCAUGGUUCACUAGUGAAAGACGGUUUUGCUGUCACUUAUAGAUGGAUCCGCGCCGCAUUAGCUAGUUGGUAAGGUAACGGCUUACCAAGGCAACGAUGCGUAGCCGACCUGAGAGGGUGAUCGGCCACACUGGAACUGAGACACGGUCCAGACUCCUACGGGAGGCAGCAGUAGGGAAUCUUCCGCAAUGGGCGAAAGCCUGACGGAGCAACGCCGCGUGAGUGAUGAAGGUCUUCGGAUCGUAAAACUCUUUUAUUAGGGAAGAACAAAUGUGUAAGAAACUAUGCACGUCUUGACGGUACCUAAUCAGAAAGCCACGGCUAACUACGUG
rnacentral:rRNA from 1 species